UGCGGCUCAGAAGCUGAGACGCCUUGUCGACCACCCUCUGAAGAUCUUUCUCUGUGUUCUUGUCAAUGUUGAUGGUUAAGAUGAGCUUUCUUCUGUAUAUGAAACUUAGCUUUGGUGUGCCGUGGUGAAAACCGGUCACUUCAACGACGUCUCCUAAUCUGUACCUGUAAAGACCUGAACAGAGAAAAAAGUAGAAGAUAAUGAAACAGGGGAAGUGAAAGGCAGUGAUAAAACAGAGUAAAUGAUGAACCAGAGGCAGUGAUCAAACAGAGAAGCGUUGAACCAGAGGAAGUGUGAACCAGAGGCAGUGAUAAAACAGAGGAAGUGAAGAGCCAGAGGAAGGGAAUAGUGAUAAAACAGAGCAAAUGAUGAAACUGAGGAAAUGAGAGGCAGUGAUAAAACAGAGGAAGUGAAGAGCCAGAGGAAGUGAAUAGUGAUAAAACAGAGCAAAUGAUGAACUAGAGGAAGUGAGAGACAGUGAUAAAACAGAGCAAAUGAUGAACCAGAGGCAGUGAUAAAAGCAAUGAACCAGAGGCAAUGAUAAAACAGAGCAAAUGAUGAAACUGAGGAAGUGAGAGGCAGUGAUAAAACAGAGUAAAUGAUGAACCAGAGGCAGUGAUAGAACAGAGGAAGAAUUGAACCAGAGGCAGUCAUAAAACAGAGGAAGUGAUGAACCAGAGGAAGUGAGAGACAGUGAUAAAACAGAGCAAAUGAUGAACCAAAGGCAGCGUUAAAACAGAGGAGGCGAUGAACCAGAGGCAGUGAUGAAACAGAUUAAGCUCUGAGACUCAAGGGCUCUUUAACUAUAACAACAGACAAUGUAAAAUGAAGUGGUGAGGUUUGCAUUUUACCUGUGAAAGUGGUGAGAACAAGCUCAUACUCCUGUCCGAGCUUGACUUGAGAGAGAGGCACAGGCUUCUCUUCGACAAAGUCACCUUCACUACACAAGUCUUGUUGAGUCUGCUGCCUGUAAAGCGGUAUAAACUCGAAGUAGCUAAAAGUCGGAAUCACAGCAAAGCUCACGUCUUCUGGAGGAAGCUGAGGAUCAACGUUCACACCAAUCCAGCUCUCGGUCGACCCAUAAUCCGCGCUCACCAGAGGCAAACCACCAGCGUAAAGCCUCAGCUUCGUCAGAUACGUCAGCAUGGAGCCCGUCAUGAUCGAGGAGACGUACUUUGCGUUUGGCCAUAGCUUCGGAAUCAAACCGAACCAUCCCACGUUCGAUUCCAGCUCUGCGCAGACGUCUUCGAUAAGAGAUGCCAAAGACGGGUUCGGUCUGAUCAGAGCCAACACAGCUUUUCUCAUCUUGGGGAGAGUGAUUCUUGAGCUGAGACUGCCUUCCUUUAUGUCAACACAUAUGUCUCUCCAGGUGUCUUCGAACAGGGAGAAGGCUUGGACAAUGGUGUAGGAGAAAGCAGAGGCUACAAACUCCACUUGCCUCGAGAAAUGGAGACCGAGCAGGAGAUGACAGUACGUGCACUGCCCGAAAUCGCCUCCGGAGAUGACCUCUCGUGGGCUGCAGGUGAAGGACUUUGUUGUCUCUUGCUUGGUUUUGAACUCUUUGCUUGAAUAGUAAUGCGUUGUGGCCGUUCCUACCGUCAACCCUCCUGGUGUCUUGAACUCCUUCCCGGCGUAUAUAAACUCAAGGAUCCUCCCUCCUUCCUUUAUUGGAUAAAACCUAUGCAAGAAAGGAAGUGGUGAGCGAAUGAAGAGCUCGUUAAAGGGUAGAAAGUACAAGAAAACCAAGUGGUCUUGGCCUAGUGGUAAAAUGGUUCUAGCUGGAGCUUCGGCCCCGGUUAAGUGGCAAGAAAACCCGAAUUUUUAUGGGCGUAUUGGUGAUUAGUCCUUGGACCUAGAAAAACUUUGAGAUCACACCAACGUUAUCAAAAAAAAAAAUUACAAGAAAAUGAAAAGAAACCUUGAUCUGUAAGCAGCUGAUAAUCUGAAAAUCUGAAGAGUAGUUUGCGAGCUAUGGCGAGUAAACGGAACAUACUUUUGUCGCCCUUCUGUUGUUCCAGAGCUGUGGUAAAAAGAGAAGAGAGGAUCAAAGAUAUCAAACACACACACACACAUAUACACAAACAUAUGUAUAUAGAAAAUAUAUAUAUACCUGAGGGAGAGAACAGUGAUGGGUUCUUGAGUGAGUAAAGGAGAGGUCUCUCCAUCUGCAAUCCUUUGAAUGUAAGGAUCCAAAUCAGCGUGGGAAACAAUAGGCACCAAGGAAGUAAAGAGAGUUUCCAAGGUGUCAUCGUCCAUCUCUUCAACAUCAACAGCCCCAAGCCAUUUCCUCAGAUACUCCACUCCGGAGUUGAGCUCAAGAAUCCGGCGCAGCGUCUCCCUUUGAGUCUUGCAGGCUUUCUCCGAG
rnacentral:lncRNA from 1 species